AUUGAACGCUGGCGGCAUGCCUUACACAUGCAAGUCGAACGGCAGCACGGAGCUUGCUCUGGUGGCGAGUGGCGAACGGGUGAGUAAUAUAUCGGAACGUACCCUAGAGUGGGGGAUAACGUAGCGAAAGUUACGCUAAUACCGCAUACGAUCUAAGGAUGAAAGUGGGGGAUCGCAAGACCUCAUGCUCGUGGAGCGGCCGAUAUCUGAUUAGCUAGUUGGUAGGGUAAAAGCCUACCAAGGCAUCGAUCAGUAGCUGGUCUGAGAGGACGACCAGCCACACUGGAACUGAGACACGGUCCAGACUCCUACGGGAGGCAGCAGUGGGGAAUUUUGGACAAUGGGCGAAAGCCUGAUCCAGCAAUGCCGCGUGAGUGAAGAAGGCCUUCGGGUUGUAAAGCUCUUUUGUCAGGGAAGAAACGGUGGGAGCUAAUAUCUCUUGCUAAUGACGGUACCUGAAGAAUAAGCACCGGCUAACUACGUGCCAGCAGCCGCGGUAAUACGUAGGGUGCAAGCGUUAAUCGGAAUUACUGGGCGUAAAGCGUGCGCAGGCGGUUUUGUAAGUCUGAUGUGAAAUCCCCGGGCUCAACCUGGGAAUUGCAUUGGAGACUGCAAGGCUAGAAUCUGGCAGAGGGGGGUAGAAUUCCACGUGUAGCAGUGAAAUGCGUAGAUAUGUGGAGGAACACCGAUGGCGAAGGCAGCCCCCUGGGUCAAGAUUGACGCUCAUGCACGAAAGCGUGGGGAGCAAACAGGAUUAGAUACCCUGGUAGUCCACGCCCUAAACGAUGUCUACUAGUUGUCGGGUCUUAAUUGACUUGGUAACGCAGCUAACGCGUGAAGUAGACCGCCUGGGGAGUACGGUCGCAAGAUUAAAACUCAAAGGAAUUGACGGGGACCCGCACAAGCGGUGGAUGAUGUGGAUUAAUUCGAUGCAACGCGAAAAACCUUACCUACCCUUGACAUGGCUGGAAUCCUUGAGAGAUCAGGGAGUGCUCGAAAGAGAACCAGUACACAGGUGCUGCAUGGCUGUCGUCAGCUCGUGUCGUGAGAUGUUGGGUUAAGUCCCGCAACGAGCGCAACCCUUGUCAUUAGUUGCUACGAAAGGGCACUCUAAUGAGACUGCCGGUGACAAACCGGAGGAAGGUGGGGAUGACGUCAAGUCCUCAUGGCCCUUAUGGGUAGGGCUUCACACGUCAUACAAUGGUACAUACAGAGCGCCGCCAACCCGCGAGGGGGAGCUAAUCGCAGAAAGUGUAUCGUAGUCCGGAUUGUAGUCUGCAACUCGACUGCAUGAAGUUGGAAUCGCUAGUAAUCGCGGAUCAGCAUGUCGCGGUGAGUACGUUCCCGGGUCU
rnacentral:rRNA from 1 species